rnacentral:siRNA from 1 species
GCUAAGCGAACGGUGAUCC